rnacentral:ncRNA from 12 species
GCAGGAUAGUUGCUUCGGACUCAGUGCUCCGGGGACGGGGAGUUGUCCCGGGGACGAAAAGCCAGAUGGCUUACGGUGCGGCAUCCGCAUCCCGCUGC